rnacentral:lncRNA from 1 species
GAAGUAAGGGGUGACCAAAAGGGCAGAUGCCCCGUCUGUGCUCUCUUCACAUAACCAAUGAGUUCCUCAUUUGCACAGACUCUGAAAAAGAAAGAAACUGAAAAUAGAAGCCAGGAAGAGGACUUUUGAUCAACCCUGAGCCUCAGUGUGACUGAACAUCACAGAUAAAAGACCUUUUCCCAGGCACAGGGAGUAGAAGCCCUGCUAGCUGAGCCAGGGAAAACAGAACCUCCUUCAGCAGAGACCUCUCAUCUGGGGUUGGCCACCAAGGCAGGGGAUACCCAAGGGAUGCUGGAAGUCAUUUCCCAGGCAUGGACGGAACACCCUUACCAGAAAAUGUGUGGAACAAGGAUGAAACUUCUGUGUCUUAGAGUCUUCUUUAUCAUCAGUACAAAGGAGAUAAAAAGCUGCCUCAGUAGAAUGACUGGUGAUAAAAUUAAACUAUAAAACUCUCUGAACCUUGAGUUUAAAACAGGGAAGCUUCUUCCUAGGUUUCUUUCUGUUCUACAGAUUUAUUUUUUUUUUGUAACACAGAUUAUAAAGCAUAAAUGUAAUGUAGCAUAAGCUCUAUGGAGAUUGCUUUGUUUUUGCCCUGAGAGCCAGGGAGGUUCUGCUCCCUAGAAAUUGCUUUAAAUUUGUUUAAAAUUCUUUUAAAUAAGAUCUGCAUCCAGAAUAUCUGCCAUCACUGACCUCUGGUGUAAAAUGAUGUAGAAGUAUUCCAAAUAAAUAAUCAAGUUCUUCUGUAGUUGUCA